GUUUCUCUAAAAUACAAAGCUAGACCUGAUAUCAGACCCUAGGAAAACUCAUUAACUAUCUUCACAGCCAACUUCCAGCCUUCUCUUCAUCGUGCCCUACUUCUCAGUAACGGCUUCACCUCACUUAAAUCUGAAGCCAUUAAACCUUGCAAUCAAUCUCUGUUAACUCGAUCCCCACUAUGUCUCAUUACUUCAAAACCUUCAUCCUCUUCAGCUUCUUCGCGAUUUCGAACCUAGAAAUAGGCAUCUCUGGCUUGAUGGUUCCCGCAGAUUCAUCGCUCCUCUCUACCCUAAAAUCAGACACACUCGAGCAAGAACGAUGGCCACUUCCAAGAUCUCUCUUUCCAAGCUGAAGCCAGGGCGUGUACUCGGACCGUUGUCACACGCCUACUCUGAUUUGAUUUUGCAAAGAAAGGAAUGUCAAGAAGGCUUUGUGAACUAAUGGGCAUCUGAUAUGCUUGUCUUUGAUGAUCAGUCCUCUCUCAUCCAAACAUUUGUAUAUGUUCAUCGCCUAAACAUAUUCUGAGAUCUUCUUAGGGAGGUAACUAUGAACGAGCUUAAUGGCUUCGAUGUGGCGAGAAGCAACAAUCAUUUCAAGAUUUGUAAUUCCGUUGUUGUAGCCAUCCGUCUUAACGAGUUUAGAAAGAUGGUUGAAGUGCCAGCGGUUGCUAAUCCAAUCCCUAGUGAGAUGUCCAGGUUCCGAAAUGUUGAGCAAAUCAUGUCUUUAGCUAAUACUAACGUCGAGCUGCCAUACAUCAUUGGUGAGGUAUGCGAUAUCAGGAUCACAGUCAGACAAUGGUUAACAUCCGAGUAUAUAAGGAUGCAACUUUGUGCGUAAGCGUUUUUGACAGUGUUGCUGAGCUCCUCCACAAGAGGCUGGAAGCUGGUGUUGUCCAUCCAAAAGUGAUGGUAGCAACCAACAUCAACCCCAAGUUUGUAGGAGGUCGACUUUACCUCAAUGCUUUUUUGGGACAUUUUUUUAUUUUGACAAUGAGGUGGCCGCAAGCCGGAAUCUAUUUGAGGAGUACUUAAAUUAUCUCUCAUACUUUUAAAGCGAGGUGUACACAUGUCGUUGUCCAUAUUCUUAGCACAUACCAUUUCCAGGUUGUCUUCCAAACCCGACUCGAUGUUUUGUUUGCUUCCUAUUAUAUGCUUCAUGUUACUAUGACUCUAUGUUUAUUUUGGUCGACAUAUACUACAUAAUACUCUAUAUUAUAAUCUCUGUAGCGAAUAAGUUUGUCUCUCACUGCUUAUAACAUGUAAACUUGGUUAUAAUAUUUCCUUUUACGGUUUUCACAUGAUAUCUGCAAAUGGUGAUAGGAGGUCCUCCACAGCUUCAUUCUCAGUUCUUGUGAUGCACACGUAAGAUGGAUUGAAUAACAAGUACGAUGCUAAGAAUAUCAACAGCCUCAACUAAUGUUAUGAGAUGCAUAUGAGCUUCACAUAAUGACUCCAGUAGUACAUCAUGUGCAUUAUUUAAUCAAUCCAACCGGCGUUCACUGAAACUACUGAUUAUAUGUCGUCAAAUUAUUAAACCGUUAUCAAAGUUUCCAGUUUGUAAUACGCAUAGGCAAAA